GUUUUCGCCCAGGUGGACCCUGUGAGCCCUUGGCACCCACUUCGCCUGGCAAACCACAAGGACCUUGAAAGGCAAACAAGCAGAUCCUGGAAUGCCAUCUCUGCCUUGAACUCCUCGAUAUCCUGAAGACCCAGGAUCUCCAGCUGAACCAGGAACACCUUAAUAAACAGAGAUAUAUGACUGGAAAAAA